ACGGAAGGCAGCAGUGGGGAAUAUUGGGCAAUGGGCGAAAGCCUGACCCAGCAACGCCGCGUGAAGGAAGAAGGUCUUCGGAUUGUAAACUUCUUUUAUGAGGGAUGAAGGACGUGACGGUACCUCAUGAAUAAGCCACGGCUAACUACGUGCCAGCAGCCGCGGUAAUACGUAGGCGGCAAGCGUUAUCCGGAUUUACUGGGUGUAAAGGGCGCGUAGGUGGGGAGACAAGUCAGGUGUGAAAUCUAUGGGCUUAACCCAUAAACUGCAUUUGAAACUGUAUCCCUUGAGUGCUGGAGAGGUAGAUGGAAUUCCUUGUGUAGCGGUGAAAUGCGUAGAUAUAAGGAAGAACACCAGUGGCGAAGGCGAUCUAUUGGACAGUAACUGACGCUGAGGCGCGAAAGCGUGGGGAGCAAACAGGAUUAGAUACCCUGGUA
rnacentral:rRNA from 1 species